rnacentral:rRNA from 1 species
AUUGAACGCUGGCGGCAUGCUUUACACAUGCAAGUCGAACGGCAGCACGGGUGCUUGCACCUGGUGGCGAGUGGCGGACGGGUGAGUAAUGCAUCGGAACGUGCCGUAUAGUGGGGGAUAACGCAUCGAAAGGUGUGCUAAUACCGCAUACGCCCUGAGGGGGAAAGUGGGGGACCGUAAGGCCUCACGCUAUACGAGCGGCCGAUGUCCGAUUAGCUAGUUGGUGGGGUAAAGGCUCACCAAGGCGACGAUCGGUAGCUGGUCUGAGAGGACGACCAGCCACACUGGGACUGAGACACGGCCCAGACUCCUACGGGAGGCAGCAGUGGGGAAUUUUGGACAAUGGGGGCAACCCUGAUCCAGCCAUUCCGCGUGAGUGAAGAAGGCCUUCGGGUUGUAAAGCUCUUUUGUCAGGGAGGAAAUCCUUAGCGUUAAUACCGUUGGGGGAUGACAGUACCUGAAGAAUAAGGACCGGCUAACUACGUGCCAGCCGCCGCAGUAA